UUUAAACAUUCUUCGAAACAUUUGGGAUAAUAGACCAACUCAUCUGAGCUCCCGAGAGCGGUGCAUUGUGGGUAAUGCGUCCCUGUGCACGUUUCGUAUCCAGCAUGGCAGGGAAAAACAAGAGGAACUUGAAGGAUCUCAGCGUGGAUGAGUUCAUGUUAUCUGGGUUUGAUUCCGAUGAGGAAGAUGCUUGUGAGGAUGAGGAAUCAACACAACAGAAAGGGAAGAUGAAGAAACCUGCACCUCAGAA